rnacentral:rRNA from 1 species
UACGAAGGGGGCUAGCGUUGCUCGGAAUUACUGGGCGUAAAGGGAGCGUAGGCGGGUUAUCAAGUUGGAGGUGAAAGCCCAGGGCUCAACCUUGGAAUUGCCUUCAAAACUGAUAGCCUAGAGUAUGAUAGAGGUAAGUGGAACUCCGAGUGUAGAGGUGAAAUUCGUAGAUAUUCGGAAGAACACCAGUGGCGAAGGCGACUUACUGGAUCAUGACUGACGCUGAGGCUCGAAAGCGUGGGGAGCAAACAG